AUGAUGGACUUCAGAUCAGCACUGCUUGCUUUAAUCAUCUGCUUUUUGGGUGCUGAUGGUCAGACUCUGGUAGAAUCUGAACCAGCGCUAAAAAGACCAGGAGACUCCCACAAACUGAGCUGUACAGCCUCUGGAUUCACAUUCAGCAGCAAUAUAAUGUCCUGGAUCAGGCAGGCUCCUGGAAAAGGACUGGAAUGGAUCGCAUUUAUAAGCACAGCCAGUUCUCCAAUAUAUUACUCUCAGUCAGUCCAAGGAAGAUUCAUCAUCUCUAGAGAUGACUCCAGUAGUAAAAUUCAUCUGCAAAUGAACCAGCUGAAAACUGAGGACACAGCUGUGUAUUACUGUGCUCGAAGGGCACAGUGA